GACGAACGCUGGCGGCGUGCUUAACACAUGCAAGUCGAACGGAAAGGCCCUGCUUGCAGGGUACUCGAGUGGCGAACGGGUGAGUAACACGUGGGUGAUCUGCCCUACACUUCGGGAUAAGCCUGGGAAACUGGGUCUAAUACCGGAUAGGACCGCACUUUAGUGUGUGUGGUGGAAAGUUUUUUCGGUGUAGGAUGAGCUCGCGGCCUAUCAGCUUGUUGGUGGGGUAAUGGCCUACCAAGGCGGCGACGGGUAGCCGGCCUGAGAGGGUGUACGGCCACAUUGGGACUGAGAUACGGCCCAGACUCCUACGGGAGGCAGCAGUGGGGAAUAUUGCACAAUGGGCGCAAGCCUGAUGCAGCGACGCCGCGUGGGGGAGGAAGGCCUUCGGGUUGUAAACUCCUUUCGCUAGGGACGAAGCUUUUUGUGACGGUACCUAGAGAAGAAGCACCGGCUAACUACGUG
rnacentral:rRNA from 1 species